CAGUCGCCGCGGUAAAACGGAGGGUGCAAGCGUUAUCCGGAUUCACUGGGUUUAAAGGGUGCGUAGGCGGAUCUGUAAGUCAGUGGUGAAAUCUCCAGGCUUAACCUGGAAACUGCCGUUGAUACUAUAGGUCUUGAAUUUUGUGGAGGUUAGCGGAAUAUGUCAUGUAGCGGUGAAAUGCAUAGAUAUGACAUAGAACACCAAUUGCGAAGGCAGCUGGCUACACAACUAUUGACGCUGAGGCACGAAAGCGUGGGGAUCAAACAGGAUUAGAUACCCGCGUAGUCCCUGUCUCUUAUAC
rnacentral:rRNA from 1 species